AGAGUUUGAUCCUGGCUCAGAUUGAACGCUGGCGGCAGGCCUAACACAUGCAAGUCGAGCGAGAAAGUGCCUUCGGGCGCGAGUACAGCGGCGGACGGGUGAGUAACGCGUGGGAAUCUGCCCAGUAGUGGGGGACAACCCGGGGAAACCCGGGCUAAUACCGCAUACGCCCUACGGGGGAAAGCAGGGGAUCUUCGGACCUUGCGCUAUUGGAUGAGCCCGCGUCAGAUUAGCUUGUUGGUGAGGUAAUGGCUCACCAAGGCGACGAUCUGUAGCUGGUCUGAGAGGAUGAUCAGCCACAUCGGGACUGAGUCACGGCCCGAACUCCUACGGGAGGCAGCAGUGGGGAAUAUUGGACAAUGGGGGCAACCCUGAUCCAGCCAUGCCGCGUGUGUGAAGAAGGCCUUCGGGUUGUAAAGCACUUUCAGCGAGGAGGAAAAGCUGACGGUUAAUACCCGUCAGUAUUGACGUUACUCGCAGAAGAAGCACCGGCUAACUCCGUGCCAGCAGCCGCGGUAAUACGGAGGGUGCAAGCGUUAAUCGGAAUUACUGGGCGUAAAAGCGCACGUAGGUGGUUUGUUAAGCCAGCUGUGAAAGCCCCCGGGCUCAACCUGGGAAUUGCAGUUGGAACUGGCAGGCUUAGAGUGCAGUAGAGGAGUGUGGAAUUUCCUGUGUAUCGGUGAAAUGCGUAGAUAUAGGAAGGAACAUCAUUGGUGAAGGCGACCUCUGGACCGACACUUUACGCCGAGUGGGUGCGAAAGCGUGGGGAGCAAACAGGAUUAGAUACCCUGGUAGUCCCGCCGUAAACGAAGUCUACUAGCCGUUGGGAGCCUUGAGCUCUUAGUGGCGCAGCUAACGCACUAAGUAGACCGCCUGGGGAGUACGGCCGCAAAGGUUAAAACUCAAAUGAAUUGACGGGGGCCCCGCACAAGCGGUGGAGCAUGUGGUUUAAUUCGACGCAACGCGAAGAACCUUACCAGGCCUUGACAUCCUUGGAAGUUGGCAGAGAUGCCUUCGUGCCUUCGGGAGCCAAGUGACAGGUGCUGCAUGGCCGUCGUCAGCUCGUGUCGUGAGAUGUUGGGUUAAGUCCCGUAACGAGCGCAACCCUUGUCCUUAGUUGCCAGCGAUUCGGUCGGGAACUCUAAGGAGACUGCCGGUGACAAACCGGAGGAAGGUGGGGAUGACGUCAGGUCAUCAUGGCCCUUACGGCCUGGGCUACACACGUGCUACAAUGGGCGGUACAGAGGGUUGCCAAGCCGCGAGGUGGAGCUAAUCCCUUAAAACCGCUCGUAGUCCGGAUCGGAGUCUGCAACUCGACUCCGUGAAGUCGGAAUCGCUAGUAAUCGCAAAUCAGAAUGUUGCGGUGAAUACGUUCCCGGGCCUUGUACACACCGCCCGUCACACCAUGGGAGUGGGUUGCACCAGAAGUGGCUAGUCUAACUACGGAGGACGGUCACUACGGUGUGAUUCAUGACUGGGGUGAAGUCGUAACAAGUAGCCGU
rnacentral:rRNA from 2 species